UUUUCUGUUUUGUUUUCGGAUGAGGGUUCUCGAUAGGAGGUUAAACCGAAGGGAAAGCAACGAUAGGAAAUUAGUUUUUUUUUAUGUUGUUUCUUUUCUUCACUGAUUCGGUUUGUUGCAGGUUCAGACUAGGCGACGAAGAUAAACAGUAGCUUCAUUCUUGGUUCAGAAGAAACAGUUGAUAGGUAGUGAUGGUUGUUCGAAGGAUGUGGCGACGGGUUGGUUUAUGUUUUUAGGUGGUCUCGGCUAGAGGUAGAGGUUCGAGUAUCGAUGGAAAAGGCGAAGGUGGAGAUGUGGAUUCGGUGAUGAUGAAAAACCGACGGCGGUUACCAGUUUCUGGAUAAGCAAGGAUGGAAAGGUCUCUAGUAUCGGCUAGAGGGCAAAGAACAAAGCAACAAUUUUUUUUUAUGUUUUUUUUCUUUGAUGCUUAUGUUUUUUGAUGGAGAAGAUGAAGAGCAGCAGUAGGUUUUUUCUUCUGUUUGUGAUGAAGGUUGUGUAAGGGAGGUCUAAAGUGGUGGUUAUGGAUUUGGUUUGUUUCGGUUCUAGAUCAACGAAGGAGUGGCUCCAGUGGUGGGGUUCUCGGUAAAAGCUCUUCCUGAUUUGUUUCAAUCGACACAAAAGGAUGGAUGGGUACCCACUCAACCAGUUACAAGACAAAAAAACAAGUUUUUGCAAAAUGUGUGUUUUUUUUCUGGAAAAAAACAAACCUUUUGGUCGGAAACGAAAAAAAUAGUAAAUAUGAGGUCUUUAUUGGAAAUAAGCCUUUAGUCUCUUUUAAGAGAGAGUGUUUGGAUAAAUUAGUUUAUUGCUUAUUAGCUUAUUGCUUAUCAGUUUUUACAAAAACGUCCGUGGUAAGAAUAAAUAAUAAGCAAUAAACAAGGGAGAGAAUGCUUAUUAAAAUCAAUUUAUUUAGUUUAUUCUUACUUUAGCAUUUCUAUCUAAACCUUUAAACUUAAUUUAUAGCGCAGUCUAAAUCCCAAACACCCUUUAGGUACCCUCUUAGAAAAAAAAAAAGUCUUUUUGACAGAACGCUACAACUUGACAAAGAAAACCCUUCCUCUGGCCUUCUUCAUCAUCAGAGCUCCUCUCUCAUCUCGCCUCCAUCAUCGAUUCAGUUCAUUUUCAGGUAUUGGUGAAAGGAAGAAGUUUGUUUCUCAAUGGCACCACUUAUAAACAGGUUUCCAUUCGUAGCUACUCAUUUGAAGAGAAUGAUAGCUAAGCUGAAUGCAAAUGAUGAGAAACACACCAUAAAAUCAUGGUCACGUGCAUCUAUGAUCAUACCCGAAAUGGUGGGCUAUCGUAUUGCUAUCCAUAAUGGAAAAAGACAUCGUCCUAUUCAAAUUAAAGAUGCCAUGGUAGGCCACAAAUUAGGGGAAUUUGCACUUACACGUGCACGUAAGCCACAAAAACCACAAAAUGUGAAAAAACCUGCAAAAAAGGGUAAAUGAUCAAAAGAUUGAAUCACUUUACUAAAACUUGUUAGAUUGUAUUUUGUCUCACAUUUACACUUUAUUUUUGUAAUAAAGGCCAUUACAUUUGAACUUGUGUUGGUUUUAGCAUUAAACAUGUCUCAUUUUCUA